AGGAUGAACGCUGGCGGCGUGCCUAACACAUGCAAGUCGAACGUCCUGUCUCGCAAGAGGCAGGGAGUGGCGGACGGGUGAGUACCACGUGGGUCAUCUACCGUGAGGUGAGGAAUACCGGCGAGAAAUCGCCGACAAGACCGCAUAGCCUCGGUGCAAGUCGAGGAAAGCUCUCUCGAGAGAGGGAGCGCCACACGAGGAGCCUGCGCCCGAUUAGCUAGCUGGUGGAGUAAUGGUUCACCAGGGCGACGAUCGGUAGCUGGUCUGAGAGGACGAUCAGCCACACUGGGAUUGAGAACGGCCCAGACUCCUACGGGGGCAGCAGUGAGGAAUUUUCGUCAAUGGGGGCAACCCUGAACGAGCAACGCCGCGUGCAGGAAGAAGGUUUCGGAUCGUAAACUGCUUUUCGUCGGGAAGAGAACGGACGGUACCCGAGGAAUCAGCCCGGCUAACGUACGUGCCAGCAGCCGCGGU
rnacentral:rRNA from 1 species